GCCUGGCUGGCUCAGUGGGUGGAGCCUGCAACUCUUGAUCCCGGGGUUGUGAGUUCAAGUCCCAUGUUGGGCG
rnacentral:tRNA from 1 species